AAUUGAGCAGUAAGCUAAGGAUAAACAGGAAUUUAUCUAAGUGGAAAAUAGUAAAUUUUCAAAAGCCAUCUUGUUAUACUGCAUCAUGUGCGAAAAGUUUGUGCUCGUUAGAAACCAUGAUCAAAUCCAUUAUUCAUGAUCGAAAAAUCAGAGAAAAACGAUUUCUGAAAAUCGAGGAAGGUACAUUUAUUUGGCCUUUUGUUAUAGCCCUAUUCGGCAAGCUUCGUGGACAAUAUUUUGUUUGUUACAGCCAUCUUGAAUUGCCACGGCAAUCGGAAAUUUAUUGCGUGUUAGUGAUAAUCAGAAAAGUAAAAAUUCAAGAAUCAACGUAGAACCAUGAAAAGAAUGAUGGUAUAGCCAAUCGUUGGAAAAAAGUUCAACAGAAGUGUUGAUAAGAUAACGAAACCCUAAAAUGAAAUUUAUUAUUUGGUGUUUAAU